AGCAGAGGAAUGAAGUGAAUGGGCUUGUUUUGAAAGGAUUCUAUUUCACUUAUUGGUUGCUCAUGGCUUAGAACAACAGUGACUUGUUAUUCCCCCCAGUCCUGUGGGUUGACUGGGCCAUUCUUUGCUGGUUCCACCUGAGCUCAUUCAGAGAUGGACUGGCCUCAGCUGGGAUGCCUGGCCCUCUCUUUCCAUGAGGCCUUUCAUCCUCAAGGAGGCUACACCUGGUUGGGCUUCCUUCUAAGAUGGUGGCAGCAUUUCUGGAGAGCACACACUUAUUAAGCUUCUGCUUGCCUCAAUGUGCUAAGUCACAUUGCCAAACCCAGAGUCAAGGUGGGACUGUAUGUGGGUGUGGAUAUCAGAAGACGUGGUUUAUUAGGGGCAGUUAAUGUAACAAGCUACCACUCUGGCUGCUCUCUUGAGAAGAGACUUGAUGAAACGAAUGGCAGAGCAAGGAGGCCAAUUAAAGGGCUAUAUAGUAAUCCAGGUGGAACCUAAGCAGUUUGAUGAUGGACAGUGCAUGAGAUGUGGAAGAGAGGGGAGUUAAGGAGGACCCCCGGAUGUUUGCCUCCAGCACGGAGUUGCUAUAUACUGAGAAGGCUCCAUCCUCCGGAUUUAACAGGGCUCCCUUGGCCAUACAUAGUAUGUAUUUCACAUCCUCUCAAUCUGUUGCGAUGUUUUACCGCGUGCAUUUCACGGCGGAUCCUGAUUGUAAAUGGGUUGUAGAAACUUCAUUGGCUUCCUGUUUGUGACAUUUCUGAUGGAUGGUCCCUAUUUAUAGAGAACAGCGUGGCGUGUGCAAAGUUACACGGCUCCACGCCAUGCUUAAUGGAUUGGAAGGAGAGAGCUGGCGCUCCCACUGUGAAGAGAAUCAUCUGCUUCCUUUUCGUGCAGCAGUCAGAAAUGGCCGGUGAUGGAACCCAGGCUGUGAAAGGCCUGUGAGGCUGAGUCCAGUCCUGGCUCUUCCACACAGCUUCUGGGUUCCUGCAGAACUCAGUCCCAGGAAUAAUGCGGGGGCUUGCAGUGUUAAGGGCAUGGCUGCUGGGGUACACCAACAGAUGUGGAGCCCGCCCUGGGUCAUUUGGCGGUGUGUGUCCAGGGAAAAAAAAGAAAAACUCAGGGAGGAGGGUCAUCUGUAAGUCAUUGACUGAGGUUUAGAGACUGUGGCUUAUUCAUUCCUAACCCUAACGUCUAGUCCAAUGACUGGCACAUAUUGCUGAAUACAUGCUUAUUGACUGACUGCAUGAAUCUUACCUAAGGGAAUAGUGAUGCAGGAAUAUGAUGUAGGAAGAUGGCCUUGCAGGAGAAUGACCUUGAACAGAGGCUGACUUUGGCCUCAUCCCAUAUUCAGAUUCUUCUACGUGAGCCAACUGAUGAAGAUUGAAAAAUUCCACACAAUUGAUUAUCUGGAGCCAGGAAGAGGAGACAAAUGAUGCUUUGACUGAAUUCUGCAAGAUCUUUUAAAAUUAAUUCAGUUGCCAGUGGUUUGUGUGUGUAACUGCCAUCUUGGACCCAUGGGGACCAUUCUGAGCCCUAGAUCCAGGCUUUCAGAAGUGCUGGAGAAGCAAACAUCUUGCCUUCUGGAGAAUGGUUAAUGAAAACAAGUGCUCACUCUCUUAAUUAAAAGUAAAAUCCCCCACAAACGAAGGCACACCACUCCUGCAGCUGCACUUCUGGGCUCCUGGGGCUGUGGCUGGUGCACAGUGCGUGGAGCGAGAGGGGUGAGGGGUGAAGCACUUCCAUUUGGGCUUUUCCACCCUCCGUGCCUGGCCUCCCCUGGCCCCCGACCUGAGGAUGCAAUGCUGACAACUCCAGUGAAGGGCUUCCAUCCUGUCUGCUCCAUUCACCAUGAAAGGCAAUCCCUUGGCCCCAGAAGAGCUCUGACCCACUUCCCUGCUUGUGAUAUUGAGAGAGGCAAUGGGACAGAUUGGAAAGAGCUGAAAGAACCUACACCAUGUGGGACUUCUACAGAAUUUUCCCCCUUUUUUGGAGAUCUUGCACUUUUCUAAGAGAUGACAUAGUACAGCUGUUAAGAGUAUAGGCCGUGGAGAUUGGGUUCAAAUCCUGUUUUUGUCACAUGCUUGCUGUCUAACCUUGAUGGGGCUGUUUGCCCUCCCUCUGCCUGUUUCAUGAUAUAUAAUGUAGGAAUAUAAUGUUACUUUUCUCAUUGCGUUGUUGUAAAGAUUAAAACAUUUAAUUUAUAUGAAGUCCUUAGAGCAGAGUCUGAGCUACAGAAAGCACCCUAAAUGCUGCUCAUUUGUUCACAUAUUAUCCCUUAACCAUAUGGAACCAUCAAAGGAUUUUCAGCAGGGGAAGGACAUGGCCAGCUCUGCACUUUAGAAAGAUUCCUGCCAGGAAGUGAAGAGAGGUGAUAUUGAGCCGGCACGAGGUCCCUUAAGAAUUGAUGCUGUACCUUUGGCUCUGCUAUCAGGCCACGCUCACUUUCAGUGGGAACUCAGGGUAUAUUUAGUUAAAAAUAAAUGGCCUUGACUUUGGUUUCUUCAUUCUUCAAGUCCAUUUCCGGGGACCCUUGAGAGUUCAACUAGAGCACUUCAGGGAGCCAGAGGCAAGCAGUUGAUGGUGAAAUGAGGCAGAAGUGGGCCUGUCUCAGGGACGGCCCUGCCUGCCUUCCAGCUGAUGCGAUUUCUCCUUUCAUGUUGGAUGCUCAGCCAGAGUCAGGAAUAUUAGAGAUGACCUGUUCUGGGCAUAAUUAAUGAAUCCUGUGUAGAGGAAAGGUGGGGGUUGGGGAGUUUGAAUCUGCUCCAGCAAUCCUUUUCUAUUUCGCAGAGUGGCUAUUUCAGACCUCCUCAAGGGUCCUCUGGCUUUGAGACCCUGCCCCUCCCACCUGUGCUCUAAGAAGUGUCUGUGUCCUCUGCUGACUGCCCAUGACCCAAACCUCCGCAGCGUGGAACGCUGUCACCUUUUGCUUCAAGCACAUCGGUGGGAAGUGUGGACAAGCCUUUCCCAGCAACCUGAACAGUGAAGUUAAGGAGGAUGGUAUUUAGCUCCAGGCUGCAGGGAGGGCUGGAUCCUCAGUGAAAGACACACCCUUAUGUUCUUUAAUAAACCUGUUUCUACUUAUCUUUGUAAGAUGUAGGUCCCUCUAAAGAAUGGGAUAAAGGACUAGGACUCCUUUUGUUUUGGUCCAAGAGCAGUGCUGCUGGAGGGCCCUGACCUCAAGUUCUGAAAAUUUGGUGCUUGAUCCAAAAAUGGUUGAUCGGUUCAUUAUAACCUCCUGGAAAAGACAACUUGUUCAGGGGUGGCAUAUGAUACGACAAGCCAUUCUAGUGACAGUCCACUUUGUUUUUAAACCUGUUUGGAAUGAGAAGCUCUUUCUUGCCCUUGAGAUUACCUAGCUCUGAAGAUAUAAGACUGAAACCAUCAAUGGCAACUAUGAAGGAAGAUUUUGCCUGGGAAUGAAGUUAACACAGAGAAAAACAGAGUUGAGAAAGGGAGACAGACAGCUUCUUGGUGACAUUCUUUGAGCACCUGGAUCCAGCCAUGCCUGAAGUCAUUACACUACUGGACUUUUCUAUUACAUUAACCAAAAACAAUGCCUCACUUUUGCUUAAAUAAGUUUAAGUUGGGUUUCUUUGACUUGCACCCAAAUAAGUCUUGGCUCAUAUAGGUAAAUACUAUUAUCUAGAUUUUGCAGAUGAAGAAGUAGAGAUUUAGAGAAGUUUAGUGACUUGGCUGAGGUCACAGAGCUAGCGAAUAGUAGAUCUGGGAAUCAGCCCCAAGCGGUCUGAAUCUGGAGCCAUUACCCUUAAUUAACACAUGACAAAGGUAAGCACAGGAUGCUCAGGAGGUCAGAGAAGAGUCACCUAAUGUGGUCUGGCAUCGUCCGGAAAUAUUCUCUAUAGAGGCUGAUGCCUGAACUGAGAAUGGCAGCACAAGCAGCUGUUAUUCCAGUGAAGAUGUGGGAAGAGGCAUGCACAAAAUCACAGGAGUGUGAAACAGCAUGGCAGUUACUGCGGCCCACAUGCCGUUCUGUGGAUGGGAAGAGGCAGAGAUUACCCUGAUGCUCUGUCAAGGAUGUAGGGUGGCUAGGAGCUCGGGCUUCAUCCUCUCAGAAUUUGGGGGCAAUUUAAGGUUUUUGUGUGGUUGAGCAUGAGGGUCGAUUUUGCACUCUAGAUAUAUCGCCUAAAUAGGAAUGUGACGACUGGGCUUCUGAGAGAAGACUGGAGGAAGGGAGACCAUCUGGGGGUGAAUGGUGAGGACCUCAACAGAGCAGGGUCGGUGGGGCCAAAGAGGAGUGGAGUAAAUGAAACAUUUAAGAGAGAAAAAUCAGCAAGAGCUGGUGAUUAUUGAGAGGUGAGAGGUGAGAUAAAGGACUGAACCAAGGAUGGUUUUAGGUUCCUGACUUGAGGGACUGUGUGAUGGUGGGAGGAGAGUCAGCGAGUGGGAGGAGCACAAGCGUGGUUUGUCCUACUCCCUUUGUUCCCACCCUCUCCUUCUGACUCUGGCUUUGGACCUGAGCACAGUC
rnacentral:lncRNA from 1 species